rnacentral:rRNA from 1 species
GAUGAACGCUAGCGGGAGGCCUAACACAUGCCAGCCGAGCGGUAUUGUUUCUUCGGAAAUGAGAGAGCGGCGUACGGGUGCGUAACACGUGUGCAACCUGCCUUUAUCUGGGGGAUAGCCUUUCGAAAGGAAGAUUAAUACUCCAUAAUAUAUUGAACGGCAUCGUUUAAUAUUGAAAGCUCCGGCGGAUAGAGAUGGGCACGCGCAAGAUUAGCUAGUUGGUGAGGUAACGGCUCACCAAGGCGAUGAUCUUUAGGGGGCCUGAGAGGGUGAUCCCCCACACUGGUACUGAGACACGGACCAGACUCCUACGGGAGGCAGCAGUGAGGAAUAUUGGUCAAUGGGUGCAAGCCUGAACCAGCCAUCCCGCGUGAAGGACGACUGCCCUAUGGGUUGUAAACUUCUUUUGUAUAGGGAUAAACCUACCCUCGUGAGGGUAGCUGAAGGUACUAUACGAAUAAGCACCGGCUAACUCCGUG